ACACCUCAACUCUCAUGGUUCUGCCAUGAUGAGCUUGGACUUUGGAGGUCUUGCUGGCCCCUGUGGUCAGCUCCUCUCAAAUGGAUCAGCUUGCCAGUGUUUGGUGGCAUCACAGGUGUGAUAACUAUCUACGCUUGUGGUUUUCCACCAGGUAACCUUCAGUGAUGGAGGUUCGCUGGAGCUCAUAAACGUCUCUCCUCAGCGAGGACAGCCCUUUGAAU
rnacentral:misc_RNA from 1 species